GAUGAAGAACGUAGCGAAAUGCGAUACUUGGUGUGAAUUGCAGAAUCCCGUGAACCAUCGAGUCUUUGAACGCAAGUUGCGCCCGAAGCCAUUAGGCCGAGGGCACGCCUGCCUGGGCGUCACACGUCGUUGCCCCCCCAUCUACUCCUUCGGGAUUGCGGGGGGCGGAUGAUGGCCUCCCGUGCGCCUCGUCGCGCGGUUGGCAUAAAUGCCAAGUCCUCGGCGACACACGCCACGACAAUCGGUGGUUGCGAAACCGCGGUUGCCCGUCGUGUGCGGUCGUCGCGCAUCGAGGGCUCGAAAAAAUUGCCGGGCUCCGGCUCGGCUUUCAACGCGACCCCAGGUCAGGCGGGGUUACCCGCUGAAUUUAAGCAUAUCAAUAAGCGGAGGA
rnacentral:misc_RNA from 1 species